UCCACACACAGUCGCCAGCCAGACUCCCCACCACAGUGACACAAACCAACCAGCCGCCUCGAGAGGUUGCUGAAGAGGUAUGCAGCGAUGGUCUGGAGGAAAAAUAGUCACAUGGACUGGUGUGCAUUCCAGUACUUGAAAUGAUGCUGUUGCUCAGGCACAUCCAGGUGCGAGGAUGGGGGAGAUCCGGAUGUCGCUAAAUAAAAGAAUCUGUGAACUGCUUCACCAAGAGAAAAAGAAGUCCAUGGACAGGCCUAUGAGCCCUCUUGUUGACCUUGAGUGACUGAGGCUGCGGGCGGUCUGCCCCUGAAUUCACCUUC